GCGCCUACGGGAGGCAGCAGUUAGGAAUUUUGCGCAAUGGGCGAAAGCCUGACGCAGCAACGCCGCGUGAGGGAUGAAGGCCUUCGGGUUGUAAACCUCUUUAAGCAGGGAAGAACACAAUGACGGUACCUGCAGAAUAAGCACCGGCUAACUCUGUGCCAGCAGCCGCGGUAAUACAGAGGGUGCAAGCGUUAUUCGGAAUUACUGGGCGUAAAGAGCGCGUAGGCUGUUUGAUAAGUUUGAUGUGAAAGCCCUGGACUAAAUUCAGGAAGUGCAUCGAAUACUGUCAGACUAGAGUAUAGGAGAGGACAACGGAAUUCCUGGUGUAGAGGUGAAAUUCGUAGAUAUCAGGAGGAACAACAGUAGCGAAGGCGGUUGUCUGGACUAUAACUGACGCUGAGGCGCGAAAGCGUGGGGAGCAAACAGGAUUAGAUACCCGAGUAGUCAU
rnacentral:rRNA from 1 species